rnacentral:rRNA from 1 species
GCUGAAGCAGGUCCCAAGGGUAUGGCUGUUCGCCAUUUAAAGAGGUACGCGAGCUGGGUUUAGAACGUCGUGAGACAGUUCGGUCCCUAUCUACCGUGGGCGCUGGAAAUUUGAGAGGAUCUGCUCCUAGUACGAGAGGACCAGAGUGGACGAACCUCUGGUGUACCGGUUGUGACGCCAGUCGCAUCGCCGGGUAGCUAUGUUCGGAAGGGAUAACCGCUGAAAGCAUCUAAGCGGGAAGCCUACCUCAAGAUAAGAUUUCCCUAGGACUUUAUGUCCUCUAAAGAGCCGUUCGAGACUAGGACGUUGAUAGGUUGGAUGUGGAAGCAUAGUGAUAUGUGAAGCUGACCAAUACUAAUUGCUCGUGAGGCUUGACUAUACAACACCCAAGCAGUUG